rnacentral:rRNA from 1 species
GACGAACGCUGGCGGCGUGCCUAAUACAUGCAAGUUGAGCGCUGAAGGUUGGUACUUGUACCGACUGGAUGAGCAGCGAACGGGUGAGUAACGCGUGGGUAAUCUGCCUUUGAGCGGGGGACAACAUUUGGAAACGAAUGCUAAUACCGCAUAAAAACUUUAAACACAAGUUUUAAGUUUGAAAGAUGCAAUUGCAUCACUCAAAGAUGAUCCCGCGUUGUAUUAGCUAGUUGGUGAGGUAAAGGCUCACCAAGGCGAUGAUACAUAGCCGACCUGAGAGGGUGAUCGGCCACAUUGGGACUGAGACACGGCCCAAACUCCUACGGGAGGCAGCAGUAGGGAAUCUUCGGCAAUGGACGAAAGUCUGACCGAGCAACGCCGCGUGAGUGAAGAAGGUUUUCGGAUCGUAAAACUCGGUUGGUAGAGAAGAACGUUGGUGAGAGUGGAAAGCUCAUCAAGUGACGGUAACUACCCAGAAAGGGACGGCUAACUACGUG